UAUUCACUGGAGUUUAGAAGGAUGAGGGGGCUUCUUAUAGAAACAUAUAAAAUUAUAAAAGGACUGGACAAGCUAGAUGCAGGAAAAAUGUUCACAAUGUUGGGCGAGUCCAGAACCAGGGGCCACAGUCUUAGAAUAAAGGGGAGGUCAUUUAAGACUCAGUGAGAAAACACUUUUUAAUCCAGAGAGUUGUGAAUGUAUGGAAUUCCCUGCCACAGAGGGCAGUGGAGGCCAAAUCACUGGAUAGAUAUAAGAGAUAGUUAGAUAGAGUUCUAUGGGGCUAGUGGAGUCAAGGGAUAUGGGGAGAAGCCAGGCACGGCUUCAUUGAUUGAUAGGGGACGAUCAGCCAUAAUCACAAUGCAUGGCGGUACAGGCUCGAAGGGCCGAAUGGCAUCUUCCUGCGCCUAUUUUCUAUGUUUCCAUGUUUCUAUAAGUAGUCUGUGAUAGAACAUAAAAUAACUCAACCGUUUAUUAACUAGUUUUCGCCUUCAAAUCAAAUAAUUUGAGAUUUAUUUCAUCAAGUAAUUCUUGCUCAAAUGCCUUUAUCACCUACUGGUAUCCUGCCGCCAUUAAACGCAAUUCUGGCUUGCAGUUGCCGAUUUUAAGACUGCAACAUAUGCAAUCCAGUAGUUAUUUUACUAUGAUCGAGUAAACAAUGAAGAUAGCUAGUAUACCUAUAUACACAAACAUAGUCUUUAUCAUAAAUAUUGGAACCAAUACUGUAGAAUUUCAAUCCUAUUUGUAUUUCUGCUAUUUAUAUUCGAUCCGCGAUUCAUUGUAUUUUUAUUCCUCUACUGAAUAGAACUAAAUAUAAUUUAAUUAUAUUGUAAACUGAUGCACAAUCCGACGUGAAAUAAUCCCAAUACAGUGGCAAUAUUACACUGGGUUUAGCUCCAGCCUUAACAGCUUUCAACCUGAAAAUGUUGCACGGCCUGCAUUGUGCAUUUUGCUUAAUUGUAUUAUUAAUGAUUGUUAAUGGCGUUGAUGUUGAAGUGAUGUAACAUCGUCAGGUGACCAUGUCGGUGAUUAUUUCCAAAUGUUACUGUGUUCCAACAUUCUGUCUUGCAAUUGACUAUUUGCAUCAACAGAAAAUUCAAUGAUUUCCUACGACCUCCAAUCCAAUGCAUUUUUCUUUUUCAGAGGAGCACACUUUGAGCUCAAGAGAAGCUGAAAUCAAUGCUACCAGACAACUGAAAGAACUGAAGAAACUUCUACAAUCUGCCA